AGGGAAAUUUUAACGAUCGAUACGAAAAGCAAAUGUCAUUGAAUCGUGUAAGAGUUUAAGAGGCGUGUCGCCAUUUUAAAACUGGAUUUAAAUUAAUAAAUUCACUGGAAAUUGUUGCAAUUACUCAGUACUAUAGUUAUUUUGGAAGAAUAUCGCGAAGGAAAGGAUUUUUGAAGAUAACUUGACGAAGAACUCACGAAAGUACGAAGUAAGCAACGCGAUUAAACCGAGUGAAAAUCGGAAAAUAUUAUAUUAAAAUAAAUUGAUAGUACGCUUGCGCAAUGGCGGUCGGUGUUAACCAAAAAGAAGUGGCUCCAGCGUCCGGCGUGACGAAAAAGGAACCGAAGGAGCUGAUGAUGACGAUCUCUCAUAAGAAGAAAAUUAUAAAAGUUAAAUGUGUAAAAAAAAUUUUUUACGGAUUUAAUGUUAAACCAAAUACAGUGUAACUCGUUAAGAGGACCCUGGAUAUAGGAUAAGUCUCUAUUUCUGUUAACUGUAAAGUCACAACACUUUUGAAUUGAAACACCUCAGUCACUGGGAUUAUGUAACCUUUACGACUGAGAUUUCCUUUGUUAGAUU